rnacentral:rRNA from 1 species
UCUUGGAAAUAAAAGAAAAUCUACCGGAGUACUAUGAAUUUAAAAAUUUAAAACUCAAAGGGCUUGGCGGUGCUUUUAGACCUUUCAGGGGAACCUGUCUUAUAAUCGACAAUCCGCGCUAAACCCUACCUUUUUUUGCAAACAGUUUGUAUAUCGUCGUCAUCAGGUAACUUUUAAAAACUUAAUAGUUAGCAGAAAAACUUUAUAAUUUUAGACGUCAGAUCAAGAUGCAACCAAUAAAAAGGUCAAGAUGGGUUACAAUUAUGCAAUAGUAAUACGGAAAAUUAAUUGAAAUAUUAUUUUAAAGGAGGACUUGAAAGUAAAAAUAUUUAUAUGUAUAAAUUGAAUAAGGCUCUGAAGCGUGC